rnacentral:lncRNA from 1 species
AGAACUGGACAAAACACUUGGGAAAGGAAAAAUAUCCUUAUUGUGUCAUUUGCUCCACUUGUGCAGCCAAGUAAGAAUGAUAAUGGUAAACCAGAUUCUGUGGGACUCCCUCCCUGUGCUGUCAGGAAUCCACAGGGCUUGGCUUGUAUUUACAUUCGACGCACACUUAGAAAUUUCAUAAAUGAUGAGAUGCAGGCCAAGGGGAUUCCGCAAAGGGCUCCACCCAAAAGGAAAAAAAAAAAGAGAGUUAAACAGAGAACUAACACAUACAUAUUUGUGGGUAAUCAGCUUAUUCCUCAGCCUCUGGACAGAGAGGAGGAUGAAAAAAUGGAAGAUAACAAAGAAGAGGAAGAAAAAGAUCACAGUGAAGCAAUGAAGCCAGAGGAGCCACCUCAAAAUUUACUGAGAAAAAAAUCACAACGCUGCCCCUUCCUGAAUCUUUAAAAGCUUACUUGACAUAUUUUAGAGACAA